AUAUUAAGCUAACACCCUCUCCUCUUUCCAAUAACAUAACUACUACUAUUACUACUACGAUCGGGAGCGACGGAACCCACUGGGUUGGUUUAGAAAAAGCCGAAUCAUACCAAACCGGCUGAUUCGAGAUGUCUACCGGAUUGGAUGACUACCAGCACAAUCUAAAUCAUACAUUCUCUUUUUCUUUCUUUCUCUCUCCUUCCCUCUCUUUCGCUUUUUCUUCCCCUUGUUAUUUCUAAAUAGGGAAGUUUCGAACUUUUUUUUCUUAAAUUUUCAAUUUUUAAAUUAAAUUUGACACAUCCUUUGCUAAUUUUAGUUCGAGAAUUGAAAAUUUAAGAAAAAUAAAAAGGCUAAAAUACCUUGCAUGGACCUCGGCACCGGUUCCAGAAACAAAGGGUUAGCCUUUAAGUAGUCCUGCGUACAUGCAGUAGAAACUGGGAAUAAUCACACUGCUGCAGAACAAUCGAACCGUGUGAUAAUUCAUGGUAUAUCAUAGACUGGGACUUAGGCCAUCAAUUGAUAUAUCGCCUCUUCCCCUCUGGUAGCGAUCGCGCUCUAUUGGGAGAAGACCGUUAGUCCAUUUAAAUUUGAGUUUCUCUUCUUCUUCUUCGCACCGAUGGCAACGGCUAAUUCCCUCUCGAAGGCAUUGGGCGCCGCCAUCCUCAAGUGGGUCUCACAUGGCCGCCGCCGAGCGUGCCAUCCUCAAGCGGGUCCCGUCGGUCGAUCUCGUCGUCGAGGUCCACGACGCCGGGGUACUUCUUCCGUUCCUUCUCUUUCUUCUCUUUUCCAUUCACCAAGUGUUUGGUGAAAUUCUUGGAUGAUCCUUGGCUUUUCUUUAAAUUUCUUUUUCUUCCUUAUCAAGUGAGUUAUGAUGCCGUUUCUGUUUAAGGGUACAAGAUUUAGUUGAUAUACUGAUAGAGUUCCCAUCCACCAGCUGUUGGGUGAAAUUCUUGGCCGAUCUUUGUCUCCUCUUUUAAAUUAUUUUCCUUUUCUUUCAGUGAAUUAUGACCGCUGUUGGUUAGAGUUGCAAGAUGCCAAAUGAUGAUUAGGGUUUGCUGAAAGAUGCGGCUUUUCUGCCAAGUUUUGAGCAAAGAUGUGGGGAUAAGAUUAGGGUUUCCGAAGCCUCGUGUUUUGGUUUGCUUUCAGAAGGGAUGGUAUCAUGUUUUGCUGUCGGCUUGCUGUCUUCGAUCUUGUUAUUUAUUUUGUUUUAUUUCUUUGUAAAGCGAGUUCAAACAGUAUAUAGGCUUCAUCAGGAUGGUUUUGUUGUAGUUUUGGUUUCUUGGGUUUUGGUGACAACGAGGGUUUUGUAGGGGGGAAAUAUUUGUUGGGUUAAACGAGGAGAUUAUAUGGAGAUAGAGGUGAAUUGGUAGGGAUUUACAUAUGAGGUUAAAAGUUUUACAUAAAGGUUCAGGGCAGAAAUGAAAUACAAAAGGUGGGAAAAAUUUAAGAAAGAAAAGCUAUUCAUACAAGGGACCAAAAUUUAGGUAUUCCAAUUCCCACGUUCAUUUCUAAAUUAGGUUUGAACUUUUUUUAUCAUAAGCAAAUACCCUUUUCAGCAGCUCUCGAGUCUCUGAGACAAAGAGCCUGUUCCUGUAGUCUUAACAAGGUUGAUCUUGCUGAUCGCUCUCUGACAGAAGUAUGCCAUUUUGGGUAUCCAAUUAACAUUAUUUUGGUUUUAUCAGUAAUGUAAGUCAUUCAUAUUAUCAUGAUUCUUUUCUUUUCCGGUGUGUAGUUUUUGCCUUGUUUUGACAUAACCUUAGUGGUAGAAUUGUCUCCAACGAUCUUUAUAAGAUUUCCCCUUAAGAAGAUUGUCUAUUCUCAUUUUCAUUUUUCAUUUCUUAAACAUGGACACUUACUUUGUAUAAAUGGGUGAAGCAUUUCAGAAACCAGAAGUAUACUUGCUGUGGAGUCAGUGCUCAUAACAAGGACAGCACCAAGAAGCUGUGAGCAUUGUACGAGCUAAGGUCAAGGAAGUAAAGGUUGUGACGAUACAUACAUUGCAACAGUGCGGUUGGCUGGGAUUCCAAAUGUUGGCAAGUCAGCCAUCACCAAUAUCAUGCGUCAAAUUGGCAGAAUAAGUGAUGCAGAAAAGGGAAAAUUGAAGCAUGCUGUAGUGAACCCAUAACCUUGGGAAACAGAGGAUUUUAACAGCUCCAAGGUACAUGGCUUCCGUUGGUUCAUACCGUUUUAUCAUCAUAUAUCCUAUAUUAAACAUCAUUUUUGUGUUUCAGUUAUUGAUGUCCAUGAAGAUACAAAGAUAAAACAGUGUUUUAGAUUCCUUUGUCCAAACUUUAAAUGCUGCUGAAUUCCAUGCUAUUACAUA